UUAAGUGAAUAAGGGCGCACGGUGGAUGCCUUGGCACUAGGAGCCGAUGAAGGACGGGACUAACACCGAUAUGCUUUGGGGAGCUGUACGUAAGCUAUGAUCCAGAGAUUUCCGAAUGGGGGAACCCAGCAUCUUUAAUAGGAUGUUACGAUUGUGUGAAUACAUAGCACAUUCGAGGUAGACGCAGAGAACUGAAACAUCUAAGUACCUGCAGGAAGAGAAAGAAAAUUCGAUUCCCUGAGUAGCGGCGAGCGAAACGGGAAAAGCCCAAACCAGCAAGCUUGCUUGUUGGGGUUGUAGGACUCCAAUAUGGUAGUUCUUUCAGAUAGUCGAAUGACUUGGAAAAGUCAGUCAAAGAGGGUAAAAACCCCGUAGACGAAAUGUGGAAGACACCUAGGAGGAUCCUGAGUACGGCGGAACACGAGAAAUUCCGUCGGAAUCCGGGAGGACCAUCUCCCAAGGCUAAAUACUCCCUAGUGACCGAUAGUGAACCAGUACCGUGAGGGAAAGGUGAAAAGCACCCCGGAAGGGGAGUGAAAUAGAACCUGAAACCGUGUGCCUACAACAAGUCAAAGCCCGUUAAUGGGUGAUGGCGUGCCUUUUGUAGAAUGAACCGGCGAGUUACGAUUGCAUGCGAGGUUAAGUUGAAGAGACGGAGCCGCAGCGAAAGCGAGUCUGAAUAGGGCGUUUGAGUAUGUAGUCGUAGACCCGAAACCAUGUGAUCUACCCAUGUCCAGGUUGAAGGUGCGGUAAAACGCACUGGAGGACCGAACCCACGUACGUUGAAAAGUGCGGGGAUGAGGUGUGGGUAGCGGAGAAAUUCCAAACGAACUUGGAGAUAGCUGGUUCUCUCCGAAAUAGCUUUAGGGCUAGCCUCGGAAUUGAGAAUGAUGGAGGUAGAGCACUGUUUGGACUAGGGGCCCAUCUCGGGUUACCGAAUUCAGAUAAACUCCGAAUGCCAUUCAUUCAUAUCCGGGAGUCAGACUGUGAGUGAUAAGAUCCAUAGUCGAAAGGGAAACAGCCCAGACCACCAGCUAAGGUCCCAAAAUAUAUGUUAAGUGGAAAAGGAUGUGGGGUUGCACAGACAACUAGGAUGUUGGCUUAGAAGCAGCCAUCAUUUAAAGAGUGCGUAAUAGCUCACUAGUCGAGUGACCCUGCGCCGAAAAUGUACCGGGGCUAAACAUAUUACCGAAGCUGUGGAGUACACCUUUAGGUGUAUUGGUAGGAGAGCGUUCUAAGGGCGUUGAAGGCAGAUCGUGAGGACUGCUGGAGCGCUUAGAAGUGAGAAUGCCGGUAUGAGUAGCGAAAGACAGGUGAGAAUCCUGUCCACCGAAUGACUAAGGUUUCCUGGGGAAGGCUCGUCCGCCCAGGGUUAGUCGGGACCUAAGCCGAGGCCGACAGGCGUAGGCGAUGGAUAACAGGUUGAUAUUCCUGUACCCGUUGUUUUUGUUUGAGCAAUGGAGGGACGCAGGAGGCUAAGGAAUGCAGACGAUCGGAAAUGUCUGUCCAAGCAGUAAGUCUGAAGAGGAGUCAAAUGCUUCUUUUCUUAAGGACAAGCUGUGAUGGGGAGGGAAAUAAUAGUACCGAAGUUCCUGAUGUCACACUGCCGAGAAAAGCUUCUAGUGAGAAAACAGCGGCCCGUACCGCAAACCGACACAGGUAGUCGAGGAGAGAAUCCUAAGGUGAGCGAGAGAACUCUCGUUAAGGAACUCGGCAAAAUGACCCCGUAACUUCGGGAGAAGGGGUGCUGAUCAUACGAUCAGCCGCAGUGAAUAGGCCCAAGCGACUGUUUAUCAAAAACACAGGUCUCUGCAAAAUCGUAAGAUGAAGUAUAGGGGCUGACGCCUGCCCGGUGCUGGAAGGUUAAGAGGAGUGCUUAGCGCAAGCGAAGGUACGAAUUGAAGCCCCAGUAAACGGCGGCCGUAACUAUAACGGUCCUAAGGUAGCGAAAUUCCUUGUCGGGUAAGUUCCGACCCGCACGAAAGGCGUAACGAUUUGGGCACUGUCUCAACGAGAGACUCGGUGAAAUUUUAGUACCUGUGAAGAUGCAGGUUACCCGCGACAGGACGGAAAGACCCCAUGGAGCUUUACUGUAGUUUGAUAUUGAGUGUCUGUACCGCAUGUACAGGAUAGGUAGGAGCCGUAGAAAUCGGAACGCUAGUUUCGAUGGAGGCGCUGGUGGGAUACUACCCCUGCGUUAUGGCCACUCUAACCCGCACCACUAAUCGUGGUGGGAGACAGUGUCAGAUGGGCAGUUUGACUGGGGCGGUCGCCUCCUAAAAGGUAACGGAGGCGCCCAAAGGUUCCCUCAGAAUGGUUGGAAAUCAUUCGAAGAGUGUAAAGGCAGAAGGGAGCUUGACUGCGAGACCAACAAGUCGAGCAGGGACGAAAGUCGGGCUUAGUGAUCCGGUGGUUCCGCAUGGAAGGGCCAUCGCUCAACGGAUAAAAGCUACCCUGGGGAUAACAGGCUUAUCUCCCCCAAGAGUCCACAUCGACGGGGAGGUUUGGCACCUCGAUGUCGGCUCGUCGCAUCCUGGGGCUGUAGUCGGUCCCAAGGGUUGGGCUGUUCGCCCAUUAAAGCGGCACGCGAGCUGGGUUCAGAACGUCGUGAGACAGUUCGGUCCCUAUCCGUCGCGGGCGUUGGAAAUUUGAGAGGAGCUGUCCUUAGUACGAGAGGACCGGGAUGGACUUACCGCUGGUGUACCAGUUGUUCUGCCAAGGGCAUUGCUGGGUAGCUAUGUAGGGAAGGGAUAAACGCUGAAAGCAUCUAAGUGUGAAGCCCACCUCAAGAUGAGAUUUCCCAUUUCUUUAAGAAAGUAAGAUCCCUGAGAGAUGAUCAGGUAGAUAGGUCAGGAGUGGAAGUACAGUGAUGUAUGAAGCGGACUGAUACUAAUCGAUCGAGGACUUAACC
rnacentral:rRNA from 1 species